CCUGGAAAGCCAGAGUGAGACAUGAGGGAAGCCCCCCGGCCUGUUGUGACGCUCUGACCCCGGGACAGGACCUCCAGGGAAACCAUGGAGGCCACCUUUGCCUUUCGAAUGGAGAGACUGCUUCCGGCGACCAUGAAGACCGAAGAGCUGCCGUCAGAAACGGGCCCCCACGACGCCCCCAGCCAGGCCCCCACGGCCACUCACCUGGCACGGUAGAGGCAGAAGACGUGCUUGGUCUGGCCACGGUCGCUGCAUAAGACUGAG